GACGAACGCUGGCGGCGUGCUUAACACAUGCAAGUCGAACGGAAAGGCCCUGCUUUUGUGGGGUGCUCGAGUGGCGAACGGGUGAGUAACACGUGAGUAACCUGCCCUUGACUUUGGGAUAACUUCAGGAAACUGGGGCUAAUACCGGAUAGGAGCUCCUGCUGCAUGGUGGGGGUUGGAAAGUUUCGGCGGUUGGGGAUGGACUCGCGGCUUAUCAGCUUGUUGGUGGGGUAGUGGCUUACCAAGGCUUUGACGGGUAGCCGGCAUGAGAGGGUGACCGGCGACAUUGGGACUGAGAUACGGCCCAGACGCCUACGGGAGGCAGCAGUGGGGAAUAUUGCACAAUGGGCGGAAGCCUGAUGCAGCAACGCCGCGUGCGGGAUGACGGCCUUCGGGUUGUAAACCGCUUUCGCCUGUGACGAAGCGUGAGUGACGGUAAUGGGUAAAGAAGCACCGGCUAACUACGUG
rnacentral:rRNA from 1 species